rnacentral:lncRNA from 1 species
GUGAAAUCCUAAUUCCUAGUCUAUAAAAAGGGGGCUCCUCUCUUGGAUGUCCAAUCAUUGGUUUCCUUGCUAUUUUUAUUUUUCUAGAGCUUUUUUCCUCCUCCUCUCUUCUUCCUCUAGAUCUCUCUUGCUUUGGAGUGUCCAAGGUGCUUGAAGAAAAAGAAAGAGAUCAGCCAUCGAAGUUGCUUGUAGGCUAGCACCUCCAAGCACCUGAUCUGUGCCAGUCUU